AGGACGAACGCUGGCGGCGUGCUUAACACAUGCAAGUCGAGCGGUAAGGCCUUUCGGGGUACACGAGCGGCGAACGGGUGAGUAACACGUGGGUGAUCUGCCCUGCACUUCGGGAUAAGCCUGGGAAACUGGGUCUAAUACCGGAUAUGACCUCAGGUUGCAUGACUUGGGGUGGAAAGAUUUAUCGGUGCAGGAUGGGCCCGCGGCCUAUCAGCUUGUUGGUGGGUAAUGGCCUACCAAGGCGACGACGGGUAGCCGACCUGAGAGGGUGACCGGCCACACUGGGACUGAGACACGGCCCAGACUCCUACGGAGGCAGCAGUGGGGAAUAUUGCACAAUGGGCGAAAGCCUGAUGCAGCGACGCCGCGUGAGGAUGACGGUCCUUCGGGUUAGUAAACCCUCUUUCGAGCGAGGACGAAGCG
rnacentral:rRNA from 1 species